CAAGGUUCCCGUAGGUGAACCUGCGGAAGGAUCAUUG
rnacentral:rRNA from 1 species